AAAAUGGGUUAUCUGACCCAUACCCAUUUUUUAAUCAAAUCAUUAGCAAUUUGAACCACGUUAACCCAUAUACAAGCAUCACUUUGUAACUUCCUCCUCCCAUACUCUCACCAAUUUAGCUUCCAUUAUCUCACCAACAUCAAUUCAAAUUCUUCACUUCAAAUUCUUCACCGUGGAAACCAUCUUCUGUUUUCGUCCCAGGAUAACCAAUUUUCAUGAAUGCAUCUGAUGCUCAUUGAUCUUCUCUCCAAUAACAAUCCGUCAUCUACUUUCUUCUUCCCAAGAACAACCUAUAAUCUACUUCUCAAAAAUCAUUACUGAUAUUUUUGAGACGUGAUCUCAGGCGUACAAUCUGUGGAGUAGUUGCAGCACGUUUUUCUUCCUUCUCUAAUCAGUCACAGAGCACAUCGAGGCUGCACACGACAUGUCCGGUAUGUUUUCAGACAUUCAUUGUCGAUGAAUCCGCUUUCCGAUUUGUUGUUUGUCUUCCGUAUUUAGCCAUGUUUGGGAUUUGCAAGUAAUGCAUCCAUUCCACGAAGACCGUCAUCUCCUUCCGGCGGUACCGGUAAGCCUGCUUUGUCCUUCCUUCAUUGGAACUGUUGUUGUGUGUGCUUUGCAUCUUAUUCUUGCUCUGCCACGGAUCACUACACCUUGGAAUGUUGUUGAAUCUGUUUUCCUGUACAAUUACAUCAAGUGUUUGAUAAAAUGCACCAAUGAAGAAGAUGACUUCCGCAUUCAAAGUAAGGAUGAUAGUUAUUUUAGGGAAUAUUCCAAUUUCAGAUAAUGAUUUUAUUAUAAGUGAUUUUACGGGUCAAAAGCAAAGGCCUGCUAUUAUACACGAUUGUUAAAGGCUAUACUAUCAUUUUAAAGGCAAUUUAAAUUCAGGUGAUGUGAAUAUAGACUCAAAAAUGAGUCUGAUGUUAAUAAAUUUAUCCUAUUGGUGUGAUGCCAAUUUCAAGCAGCUAAUUCCAAUGGUAAUACCAAGCAAAUAUUUGACACUGCUCCUCGAGAUUGAAUGGUUUGACAGGAGAAAACUGUUUGGCAAUCCAAGCACCAACUCAGAGUCGCCCAACACGUGGUCAUGGUGAAUUUUUCUUUGUUCUAUCCCCUAAAUUACUUAUGUGUUUAGAUUUUCUGUUCUCCUUUGUUGUAUUGUAAUUAUAUCCCAUCUGUUAUUUGUCACAUUCAAAUCCAAUUUAAAUACUUAGCAAGUCGUAAGAUAUUUGUUGUGUGGUUUUCGAUGUACUCCUUUGUAUCCUAUUGCAGAUACGGUUUUGAAAGACACAACAAACAAAUAUGUUUUGCCACCUCCGAAGAGGCAGGCUAUGGAGGUCCUUCCAUGUUUUGAUUUGUUCAUCCUUUGUUGUUCUUGAAAUUUUCUAAACAAAAUAUAUGUGUAUGAUCUUUGGUAUGUACAAUAGAUUUGGUUAUUUUUGAUUUAGUCCGUAUAUAAUCAUAUGCUUAUAUAAUACAUGAUAAUAAUUAUUACCAUUAUUUGUUCCUCUUGCUCUUAGAGUCAAGCUUUAUAUUUUUAGAUGAUGAGUUCAUUGCUAAGAUUUUUGAUUCUGUCUAUCAAUGUUAUUAGGCUAUAUGUAUUCUCAUUUCUUAAUGUUGUCAGUUUGAAUAGCCUUUUUGAAUGUGGCUUUUAUGAUAUUUUAGCCAGAUAUCAUCAAUAAACAUAUACACAAUAUCAAAUAUCAUCAAUAAUUUCAGCAUCUUUAUAUAUUUUGCUUUCUUUAUACAAAUAAUUAUUGCCAGAGCCUAAUGUGCCGGUGCGGACAUAUGUGGCAGCCGGGCCACUAAUACCACCAACAUGGGCCUCAAAAUUGUUGUAAUCCAGCACAUGAUGUGCAGAUUAAAUUUGAUUGUUUUAGCAUUAAAUAUAUUGAUUUUUUCCAAAUAAUCUGUAUCUCUUAUCUCUUUAAUAAGUUUGAUGUUGCUUUCAGCUCCACGCCCUCUUACACCGAGUCCUCAUAGCACAAGACAAGGUUAUUGUCAAUAUAUUUCAUGCCUGAUUUUGUUUUUCUAAUACUGACCUUCGCAUUCAUGAGUCUUGCCUUCAAUUUCUUGCAUCUGUAGUCGAUUUACUGCGUCGUUAUGCUAAUUCAGCAAGUUGGUUUGUUUUGUCGUAUUUUAUGACUUCCAUAGACUUGUGGGUUGGAUAUAUGAAUCUUGGUAAGCCAGACAGAGUAUGUGCAAAGUGCAAGGCUCAAAUGUGGAAUGAAGAGAGGAAUAAUAAGUCAUCAAAAAACAGCACACCCACCUUUUCUAUAUGCUGCAAGGACGGUUAGGUGCAGCUACCCCCUGAGAGGCCACCUCCUGCAUAUCUUGCAUCACUUCUGCAUGGCGGUGAGAAGUCUGAACAUUUUAGGCUGAAUAUUCGAGCCUACAAUUCCAUAUUUCAGUUUACUUCUCUCGGUGGAAAAAUUGAUCGUAGAUUGAACAAUGGAGGAGGGCCUUACUGCUUCAAGCUUUGUGGACAGAAUUAUCACAUGAUUGGAAGUCUGAAGCCCAAAGAUGAUGAAACACCUAAAUUCUGUCAAUUAUAUGUUUAUGACACGGACAAUGAGGUUCAGAAUCGAUUGAAUGCAGUCCCUGGAAGUGAUGUUCUUGAUCCUGGAAUUUGUUACUAUAUAUUAUAAUUAAGUGAUGGAAUGGAAUAUUAUGUAUGUUUCUAUUGAUACAUUGUUUGUGUCGUUAAAGAAAUUAUACAGAAAAAAAAUAAAAACUCAUAGCAACUUAAAUACAUAAAUACACACACACACACACACACACACACAAAUAUAUUACAAUACUUCUUAUAAGAUUUAGUCCCAUUGUAUUAUAAACUAAUUUCCUUUUAUAUUUAUUAAUUAUAUGUUAAACUAUAUUUUAUUAUAUUUAUCAACAUCAACAUCAAUCAACAUCAACAUAUUCUAAAUUUGUGCUAGCACUAGGUUUUAUUUUUUACUGAAAUUACCCCUCCAUUUUCUUAGGCGUUCACUAUGUUCUGGGGCAUUUUAGUAUUUUUCCCUUUUUGUGGAUCUUCAAUUACCCAUCGGAUCUGACCCGGACUUCUCCUAUACGAUUUGUACGAGAGGUGCUUACCAUCGGGUCGGUGUUUCUUUACUGGGUUUUGCCCAGUUCUCUGCGGUUUCUUUCACGCUAAUUACGAGGAGUUGGGGUAACUGCUGGCGGAAAUUAUGGCGAGUAUACAUACUUUCCUUUCUUCUGGUGGAAAAAACUUCAGGUCAUGAUAUAUCUACGGCUUUCAAGUCUUCCGGAAAUAGUUGUGUUUUUAAUAGUCAAUCAAUAUCUGGUCAUCGUUUGCCUUAUCUCAAUCAUUCUUUUCCAGAUUUCUCAAUAUGUUGAUGCAUCUAAAUAAUGUACCAUGAAGCGUUCUUCUCUCACGUGGUUUAAUUUAUCUUCACCUGCAUUUAAUCAUGAUAGUGUAGGGGAUUUUGUAGACAGUACACCAACUGCAAGAAAGUUGAAUUUUGUAGUUCUCUGUAUAUUGCUCUCCUCGACCUCUGAUUCUCGCAAGAAACGUUCGUAAAAAACCUUCACUCUUCCAGCGUCUAGGAUUGAUCCGAGCAAAAAAGAGGCGUCUGACAGAGAUCAACAACUAUUGAGGUUUUUCAAUAUCGUUACGACUCUUGGUUUAUGGGUGUCUAACAUAGGGCACAAAGCUACUUGACCUGACUGUAAUUAUCACUCUGGCUCCCACUGCUUCAUUUCCACAUCUGGCCACAGAAGACAGAGCUGCAACAUAUGUAGCUGACUCUUAUCUCACUAAAACAAAAGAUGUAUUUAGUAGCAUUGUUGAAAAGGGUUAUGUUCUAGGUAAAGCAUUAGCUGUUGGAACUUCCGACAAAGUUCAAAAAGUGGAUCAAAUCUAUCAAGUCUCCCAGCAAGUUAAUUCGGCAGUUGCCAAAUCUGCUGUAAUCAGUAACAAGUAUGUAUCCAUAGGGGCUUCAUGGGUGACUAUCACAUGUGAUUCAAUUGCCAAGGCUGCUGCAGAGGUUAGCCAACAUGCUAUGGAGAAAGUGGCACUUGCCGAAGAGGAACAGAGAAGAAAAACGACUGGUGAAGAGGAACAGGGAAGAAAAACCAUGUAGUGCUCUUUAAAAUUAUGCUUCUAACCCCUACAUAGGCUCAUAUAGAAUCUAGAUUCUAGCACAUUGUAUCCAUGCUCCCCUGCCAAUGUUUAAGCAACUGGUAAGGUCAAUUAAAUUAACAGGAUACAUUGUGGAGGUGUCUACUUGCUUGGUUGCGAGUUGGUGUAAUAUUUUUAUCUUGCCCAAGGGGAAAGAGAGAUUAUAAAUGAUUUUAUUCUAUUUUUUGCAUGUAUUUUAUAUUGUUUAUCCGAUUGUAAUAUUUCAUGCAUUAAAAGAAUUUUAAUCUUCAAUAAAAAAAAUUAGUA